rnacentral:piRNA from 1 species
UCAUCUAGAGGGUACUGCCAAGUUCAUUCU